UUGACCUCGGAUCAGGUAGGGAUACCCGCUGAACUUAAGCAUAUCAUAGCCGGGAGGGAAAA
rnacentral:rRNA from 1 species